rnacentral:rRNA from 1 species
UACGAGGGGUGCAAGCGUUAUUCGAAAUUAUUGGGCGUAAAGGGUGCGUAGGUGGUUCAUUAAGUCAAUUGUUAAAUCUCCCGGCUUAACUGGGAAAAAGCAGUCGAAACUGGUGGACUUGAGGAUAGAAGAGAGAAGUGGAAUUCUCGGAGUAGCGGUAAAAUGCGUAGAUCUCGAGAGGAACACCGAUGGCGAAGGCAGCUUCUUAGGCUAUACCUGACACUGAGGCACGAAAGCGUGGGGAGCAAACAGG